ACCUUCGUUAGAGGUCGAUUCACCUUCGUUAGAGGUCGAUUCACCUUCGUUAGAGGUCGAUUCACCUUCGUUAGAGGUCGAUUCACCUUUAGAACGUAUAUGCUUUAAAGUUGUACCCUUUUGUUACCACAGAAAAGAAAAGUGAAGAAUUUGCUCGUCUUC